rfam:Gossypium raimondii Chr04_contig_564, whole genome shotgun sequence.
AUCUCGUGGUGAGGACAUUUGCAUUGGAACUCUUUGGAUCUUUCCCAUGCCUCGUAUAGGGAUUCGUCAUCCAUUUGCUGAAACGUAGUGAUCUCAUUUUGCAACU